rnacentral:rRNA from 1 species
UACGUAGGGGGCAAGCGUUGUCCGGAAUCAUUGGGCGUAAAGAGCGUGUAGGCGGCCAGAUAAGUCCGCUGUGAAAACUCGAGGCUCAACUUCGAGCUGUCGGCGGAAACUAUCUGGCUAGAGUCCGGAAGAGGAGAGUGGAAUUCCUGGUGUAGCGGUGAAAUGCGCAGAUAUCAGGAGGAACACCGGUGGCGAAGGCGGCAUCCUGGACCGGUAUUGACGCUGAGGCGCGAAAGCUAGGGGAGCAAACGGG